UACGUAGGUGGCAAGCGUUGUCCGGAUUUAUUGGGUUUAAAGGGUGCGUAGGUGGUCUAUUAAGUCAGUGCUGAAAUAUCCCGGCUUAACCGGGAGGGUGGCAUUGAUAUUGAUGGACUUGAAUGGAGUCGAGGUAGGCGGAAUUGACGGUGUAGCGGUGAAAUGCUUAGAUAUCGUCAAGAACACCUAUUGCGUAGGCAGCUUACUAGGCUCUAAUUGAUCACUGAGGCACGAAAAGUGUGGGGAUCAAACAGG
rnacentral:rRNA from 1 species